ACGCCGCUCAGAAACUAAAGGAAUGACGGGCCGCACAGCGGUGGAGUAUGUGGUUUAAUUCGAUGCAACGCGAAGAACCUUACCUGGUCUUGACAUCCCGGAGACCCUUAGGAAACUAGGGGUGCUUCCAUCUGGAAGAAUCUGGAGACAGGUGCUGCAUGGCUGUCGUCAGCUCGUGUCGUGAGAUGUUGGGUUAAGUCCCGCAACGAGCGCAACCCUUGCCUUUAGUUGCCAGCAGUUCGGCUGGGCACUCUAAAGGGACUGCCGGUGUUAAACCGGAGGAAGGUGGGGAUGACGUCAAGUCCUCAUGGCCUUUAUGUCCUGGGCUACACACGUGCUACAAUGGCCGGUACAGAGUGAAGCGAAACCGCGAGGUGAAGCAAAACGCAGAAAGCCGGUCUCAGUACGGAUUGGAGUCUGAAACUCGACUUCAUGAAGUUGGAGUCGCUAGUAAUCGUGGAUCAGCAUGCCACGGUGAAUACGUUCCCGGGCCUU
rnacentral:rRNA from 1 species